AAUGGUCAGCAUAGUCCAAGCCCCCCUGAGAUUGAAAGAUGUACUUAUCCUUUUUUUCCUGGAACAAAGCUUACCCCAAUUAGUAUGUAUUCUUUAAAAUCCAAUCAUUUUAAUUCUGCAGUGAUGCAUUUGGAUUAUUACUGCAACAAAAAUAAUUGGGCACCACCAGAAUAUUAUUUAUAUUCAACAACCAGUCAGGAUGGAAAAGUACUCUUGGUGUAUAAAAUAGUUAUUCCUGCAAUUGCAAAUGGAUCCCAGAGUUACUUCAUGCCAGAUAAACUCUGCACAACGCUGGAGGAUGCAAAGGAACUGGCAGCUCAGUUUACACUGCUUCAUUUGGACAGGGAACACAGUCUCUUCAGCCUGGACCUGUGUAGAAGAAUUUGGAGGAAAUAAGCAGGUCCUUUCUGAUGUUGCUUGAGCUUAUUCUCCUGCAGUUGGUCUCAUUCCUGUUCGUUAAACAUUAAGUUUCUUCAUGUGUUAUAGACCUCAUAGUGAAUGAUAUUGGAGAGUGAAAGCUUGACCUGUAUAUUAAAUGAUCUCAUUCCAUUUCUUUCAUUCCAACAAUAGCACAACUUUGAUAAACGAUCAUUUUACAGACACAGUCACCACUUUGACUUAUGCUGUAGUAAAGAGCAUAGUUGAGUUUUUGGAAAGUACAGGAUCUACAAAUUUGGUCAAUAAAACACACACAUACAAAAUUACUACAAUUAAGGAAGCAGGAAAUUAUUGGUACAUGAGAUGAACGUUUGUUUGAAAUUAAUAUUUCAAAUAUAAUUGUUUGAAUAAUUUGGUUAAUUUUGGAUAAUUUUCUAUACUAUUAAGUUGAUAAUGGUUUUGACGUUCUUUUGGUAGAGAUGAUUCAUCUUAGUUUUGUGGUACCAGGGAGACUCUAAUGUUAAAUUGAUGUUUGGUUGUAUGAAUGUUUGUGCCAGCAUUUAAAUAAUG
rnacentral:lncRNA from 1 species